GUCUCUAUCGUCUAGGGGUCAGGACGACGCUUUUUCACAGCGUAAACAUGGGUUCAAAUCCCAUUAGAGAUA
rnacentral:tRNA from 1 species